UGGGGAAUAUUGGACAAUGGGGGACCUGGAUCCAGCAUGCCGCGUGUGUGAAGAAGGCCUUAUGGUUGUAAAGCACUUUAAGCGAGGAGGAGGCUACUAGUAUUAAUACUACUGGAUAGUGGACGUUACUCGCAGAAUAAGCACCGGCUAACUCUGUGCCAGCAGCCGCGGUAAUACAGAGGGUGCGAGCGUUAAUCGGAUUUACUGGGCGUAAAGCGUGCGUAGGCGGCCAUUUAAGUCAAAUGUGAAAUCCCCGAGCUUAACUUGGGAAUUGCAUUCGAUACUGGAUGGCUAGAGUAUGGGAGAGGAUGGUAGAAUUCCAGGUGUAGCGGUGAAAUGCGUAGAGAUCUGGAGGAAUACCGAUGGCGAAGGCAGCCAUCUGGCCUAAUACUGACGCUGAGGUACGAAAGCAUGGGGAGCAAACAGGAUUAGAUACCCUGGUAGUCCAUGCCGUAAACGAUGUCUACUAGCCGUUGGGGCCUUUGAGGCUUAGUGGCGCAGCUAACGCGAUAAGUAGACCGCCUGGGGAGUACGGUCGCAAGACUAAAAGCUCAAAGGG
rnacentral:rRNA from 1 species